rnacentral:rRNA from 1 species
AUUGAACGCUGGCGGCAUGCCUUACACAUGCAAGUCGAACGGCAGCACGGGUGCUUGCCCCUGGUGGCGAGUGGCGAACGGGUGAGUAAUACAUCGGAACAUGUCCUGUAGUGGGGGAUAGCCCGGCGAAAGCCGGAUUAAUACCGCAUACGAUCUACGGAUGAAAGCGGGGGACCUUCGGGCCUCGCGCUAUAGGGUUGGCCGAUGGCUGAUUAGCUAGUUGGUGGGGUAAAGGCCUACCAAGGCGACGAUCAGUAGCUGGUCUGAGAGGACGACCAGCCACACUGGGACUGAGACACGGCCCAGACUCCUACGGGAGGCAGCAGUGGGGAAUUUUGGACAAUGGGCGAAAGCCUGAUCCAGCAAUGCCGCGUGUGUGAAGAAGGCCUGCGGGUUGUAAAGCACUUUUGUCCGGAAAGAAAUCCUUGGCCCUAAUACGGUCGGGGGAGGACGGUACCGGAAGAAUAAGCACCGGCUAACUACGG